GUCAGGAUGGCUGAGCGGUCUAAGGCUAUGCAUUAAGGUCGCAGCCACUUCUGUGGGCGUGCGUUCGAAUCCCACUUCUGACA